CCCACCGCCCCCCUCAGCGCGGCGAGAGCGCGGCCCGCCGAUUUUUUUGGGGUUUUUUGGGCUAUGAAGUGGCUCCUUUAGGGGUUCUCCCAAGAGGUGUAAAACUAUACUGCACCGGUGCGGUUUGUUUCGGCUCUCCGAGACUUUGGGGUUCCCAAAGCGGUACAGCGGUCUCCCAGCAGUGCCGGAGUCCGCUGGCAGUCCCUCGGAUUUUUCUGAGUCGACUCCGAUGUUUUUAAUUACAGCAGCGUCUUUAGGAGCAAGGAUUGUCAUUAUUGGAUUGGGAAAGUAAACCACCAUAGAUUUAGCAUCACCAAGCUCAAGAGGGGAUAACUGAGAUGUGCAGCUUUCCUGCUGACACCUCCAUUCCCACCUAAGUACUGCAAGAGUGCACAUCACCUUACAAACACAGAGAAGAUGACACAGGCCUGCCCCGAGGAGCUUACAAUUCAACUUUGACAAACACCACAAAAAAUUCUGUGGACAGCAAAAGGUGGGAGAGAUGGAGCAUGAAAAGACCAGGCUUUGCUGUGGGAGUUGAACAUUUUAGUUGCUGUAGCAGCAUUGCAGUUAAGUUGGAGCCUCAGCAAGAUUUGCUCUUUUUUUUUUUUGCAUACAUCUGUGUCCAGUUUCAUCUCGAGGAUCCAGAUAUAGCUUUAUGCAGUUACUGUCAUAGUGUAAAGUGUCCUAUUAAAGCAGAACAGCACAGAUUUUCUCUGCUA